rnacentral:lncRNA from 1 species
CUUAGAAUUGGGGUGCAGCGGAGACAACAGUCUGAGGCCAUGGAGCCAGACAGAAGUGCCCACUGCUCAGCAGUUCGAGGAGAUGCAGUGACCUACUUUCACCCACAAAAUGAGUCAACAGAAAGAGACUCCCAAUGCUUCCCCAGACCUCAAGCAUGAAGAGGACAUGGUCAGGAGUUGCCUGGGCUCGCCACUGCAAAAUCUCUGCCAGGAACUGGUGCUAAAAUCACAACGCAGAAGAAAGGACUCAGGGUCCCUUCCGGCAGCCUGUGCUAUGCGUUUACCAGCAACCAGAUUCCCAACCAUCACAGAAGCAGGGCCUACACCUGCAAACCCAAACAAAACCAACCUGAGAACAGUGGUUCAAGUUACAUACUCCCAAAGCAUUUCCAGACUGGCCUACACUGGUUCAAAAGUUCAUUCAGCAAUGGCCAAGAGCCUGUAUUCCAGUGAAAAAG